AAGGGCAGCGUGGGUGUUUGUGGGUGUGUGUGCGUGCACAUUUGCCCAUGUGUUUCUAGCGCAGAGCUCUCUGUGUGUUUGUGAGUGUGCAUGUGUGCAUACCUGGUUCGGGGCAGCAUCUGUAGCAAACGGGAAGUGGUUCACGCCUCCUCCAGCCCUCCGAUGCCUGUAGGUUUUGGCCCGCUGCUGGCGGAUGGAGGGCUUGAGGUUUGGCUCCCUGUGGCUUUCUGCCCCAGAGCCAACCCCACCAACUCCACGGGCAACAGGAGGAGGAGAAAGGGUCCCCUGAGGGUGGUGGAGGUCCAGACUUUUGCUAAUUCUAAUUCGGUAGGAUGAAUCCACAAAAGUUUCCUGAAUUUCCCCAGGUCACCCGUGUCGGCAGGGGUUUGUUUUUUCUACUCAUCAGCGAAAGUAGGGACAGCAUUUGAUUUUUUUCCCCCCACCCCUCCAUCUUCCCCAGGAGGCAGGGGGCUUUUAGAAGACGUAGAAAAAUCUGUUUGGUGUUUAGUUUUGGGUUUCAAAUUUCAUAACAAACGAGAAAAGCUGAAAGCAGUUGGGAAUAUUUGGCCGGGAGAAGAGAAGGCAGGUGGCUGACUUGAUAAUUAUUCAUUCAAUUAUUUCCCUUAUUAAGGAGCUGAAAUCCCCCUGCCGAUGGGAAGGGCGGGGAUCCGGAUGCCGGGGUCCUGGAGCCACAACCCCGCCAGCUACUUCCGUGAGGGGUGGGGGCCGCGUGAAUUCGAUAACAAAUUCAGAUUCCAACUCAGCAGCGUGGAUCGGGACGUGUGCUUCUGAGAUUGGCUGACUCAAGGUGGGAAGAAACAACCUGCAAACCUGUUUGCCUCUGGCAACUUAAAGUACCCGUGCAGCCCCUUCAACUGUUUUUCCUCCAAGAAAUGGCCAGUGGGGUUGCAGAAACCAGUUCUCCGCACAGCUGCUUUCUCCUUUUUUCUCGUUUGACAAUCGACGGAAUAUUUGUUUCUUUCAGAGGAUCUCGGAGCAGGAGCAGGUUGAGGGGCAAAACCUGGGACUCUGGAAGAGCAUGAACUCCAGGAAUUGUUGGUCUCUGAACAUGGAGUUGGCAUUAUUCGUUCUGAGUGCUCCCACGCUCUCAGGACAGUGCUCGGCCCCCAUCGGGUGUUCAGAAAUACCCCAAAUAGAUGGGCCAAGUCCAGUGCUCUCUAUACACAGAAGGCACUUUUUAAAUGCUUUUGUUCCAAGGGUUGAUUAGCUUCCCCCAAACCCGUCUUGUCUGAGGAGAGACUGCAGAGGCAGCAAGGCCAGCGCACCUUUUAUCGGAAGGAGCAGGUGGCAAAAAAAUACCGGCGGGCUCGGGCCAAGAAGCGGACGAUUUUUGCCUUCUGAACGGAGAGUCCGCAUCUCCAAAAUCGAGAGGCGGCGCGCCCCAGGUGGGACAAGACCCGCGCCGGAUCCGAUGAUCGCGUACGUAACCCAGCAGCCAAGUACAGAGGUUGGCCCCCGAGAAGCACCUGAAGAAUUCCAUUUUAUUAUUUAUUGUUUGGGAUGACGACCGAACCUCUGCUACCGCCGGUCGAAUGCCCCUUAGGUCGUGCCAGAAACCGAGUUUUGAAACUUGGUUUUUCUGUGAGACCCCCCAUCGUCACGGAACGAGACUGGCAUCGUAGCGCGCCGUGUACCCUUGUACCCGUGUACCCACGGCAUCCUGGCCUGUCGUGGCUCAGUGGAAAGAGCCAGGGCUUGGGAGUCAGAGGUCAUGGGUUCAAAUCCUGGCUCUGCCACUUGU